CAUCUGCAUGAUUUCAUCUUAGCGUCAAGAAACAUCGCUGAUUGUUCUUUGGAUUUAAACGCAAGCCGUAAGCAGUAUGAUCG